AGCUUACAAAAAAUACAUUUGUUUACUUUGGCAUAUUUUUAAAUUUGCAAAGUAUCUUUAUAGUUUCGUUUGCUGUUAUGAUUGUAAGUUCUCAAUUUCUCAGAAUUUUCUAACAGCUGUUUUUCCGCUCAGACAAAUCUAGCACAGCUUUCCCUCUAUAGCCGAAGAAUACUUGCGAGUACUGAAACAUGUUCAGUUAACUUGGCCAGAAUGAACAUCAGUCAGUCGAAGACUGUUUGUUAACUGUUUUUCGCUGGCAACUGUUCUACAGAAGUGUCAAGCGUUUCCACAUAAAAACCUACAACACAAACAUUUCUGACGACGACGCCCAGAUAUCCACACAAGCUUCAUUCAUAAAGAUUCAGAUACGGAUUGAGAUUGAGAUUCACAUCUCGGUGCCAAGAACAAAUACAAGACUUUGUCGACAACACCUAACAAGUUCCUGGAAGUGGACAAGCUUUAGAAUGUGGAAAGGAAACCUGUUCGGUGUGGCACAUGGAAACAAGAGCAAAAUGAAAAACGGCGACAUAAUUAAUGAUUUCAAAUUUUCACAAAACCCAAAAAAAAAAACAAACUUAUCGAUCGAAGUUGAGCAGCAGCAGCAAACAUAAACAACUGUCACUUGGUCAUUGAAGGCAUUUUCAUGACUUGUUACUUAAGUUGUGUGAGCGCAAAAGCUGAAGAUAUAAAUUACAUGCAAGCUGUGCACUGACAGCCAACAACAAGAACAACUCUUGAGCUAGAACUCAAGCUGUUGGACAUUAAUAAAGCUUAAAGCGAACUUAAUUAAAACUUACGCUGGAAAAUGUUGCGACGUGCGACGUGCGGCGACAGAAAAACACUUUAUGGAAGAAAGCACAACGGAAAAUUUUGGACAAAACUCGCGAAUAUAUUUUUAUUUUUUCGCACGCUUCGCGAUUUAUUGAUGCUGGCAGUAAUGUAUCUGUGAGAUACGCGCUUGAGGCCGAAUCCAUUCAUAAACGCGCUAGCAUUUCAUUAAUUCUUUUUGCUAUGCUUCUCUAUUGGCACUUCUUUUAUUUUAUUUAUUUUUUUUGCACACACACGACGCUAAACGAGUUACCUGCCCAGCUGCUAGAUCACUUGAUACGCGAGAGAGCGGGUGGCGGGGGAAGAGGUGGGGUAACCGGAAAUUUGCACGCGCGCGAAAAUCAAAUUUGAUUUAAUUUUUUUUAUUUUUUUUGGGUAACAAAAAACACUUGCGAUUUCGGCAGAUUUUUGCUUGAGUUUUAGGGUUUUAGUUUCGGUUUCGAUUGAUGCUUGGUUGCUUGGUCGAAGAGGGGCGGGGAUAACUGAACUGUUGUUGUUGUAUCUCAGAUGUUGUGUGUGUCGCUUGUCCAUAAAAACGUCCAGACACGUUCACGUACUCG